rnacentral:lncRNA from 1 species
GAAGGGGCGCUGUCUGCACUUCCGGCAGGAGGUAAAAGGAAAGCAUCUGGAAGUGUGGAGUCGCCGGGUGGACACCGCUGGCCCCGGGACCCCGAUCUGCCGCACGAGGGCUCGCUCUUCUCCGGCUGCCCCACCGAGCUAGGCCGCGGCUCGGCUCCGGCCGACCCCACCGCACCCUGGGGCAAGGUUUCCCCAUCCCGCCCGGCUUCGUUGUUCCCGCGUCCUCCUGCGGCGUGCACUCACCGCGUCCUCCCAGUUCUGCCUGUUGUAGGUGUUGGAACCCAGAGAAGUCGCCAUAUCGGGAGUCCCGGGACAGCUCCGGCUUCCGACUCGAGAGACCGACCGCCACAAUCCCGGCAGGCACAGGGGUAGCGCCGGGCUACGUAUAAUCUGCGCGCCCAGGGCGACGUGGGGCGUGGCUUCGAGUCGGGGUGUGGCCUCGCGUCAAAGCCGGAGGUUCAUGGCGCUUUUGCGGAGCUCCCGUGUACGUCCUUGCAUCUUAAGGAACCGGUGGGAUUGUAACGCGGUUAGUCGCAGAUGUCUGCAUUUCUAAUACUUUGUGCUCCAAGCGGAUCCAUUACCAGGAAAUCACAUUUAACUAGACAUCCUUUAUCUUGUUUCCACCCUACCCUACCAUUAUGGUAAGGAUGUUGGUUACUUUUUUUAUAGAAAACAUUUUUUUGAGACACAAUUUUUCUGUGCAGCCUGGCUGUCCUGGAACUCACUCUUAGAUCAGGCUGACCUCCAACUGUUAACCAUUUUGCUGAUUUUUUUCAAAGAUUUACUAAAAAAUUUUAAUUG